CGAAGGCUGCAGCCUCCGGAGGUCGCAUUUGCAGGCUGCAUACGUCAUCAAGAUUGUGUUAUUUCAGAAUAUUAACAAUUAUAAAUUGAUUAUUAUUGUUAGUUAAUCGUAAAUAUUUGUAAUAUGCUUACGACUUGCUAAUGUAAUGCUCAGUUUACCUAAAAAAACAGGCUUGAUGACGUAUGCAGCCCACAUUAUGCGACCUCCGAAGGCCACUGUAAAAUGUUACUGCCCUCUGCUGGUGUAGAUUAACAGUGUUGCAAUUAACAUGUUACAACACGAGAUGGCGCAAAAUACGAGUCGUCUUAGUUUUUUGUUUAAUGUACUGUAAGUUAGUUCUUUUCCAAAUGAUGAUUGAUUGUUAUUUACUGCCAGCGUUUUUAAAUAGCUAAAAUCCUCGAUUGUCUGGAGGCUUUAUCUAUUCGUAUCCCUCAGACAUAUUUGCUUGUGUGGAUGCUCUGGCAGUCACGUCAUGCCGUAUCAAUGUUCCUGCAGUUGUUCCUUAAAAUGUUGAUUAGUAAUUUUUCAGUUCCAUCGAGUGGAGGCUUGAAGAAACCUGGCAGAAGUCGCAUAUUCAUCCUUUUGGGAACCUGUCCAUACGCCCAGCCUGCUCUUCAGUGCAUUAUGCAGUUUAGCUUUAUUGUCCUUUACCACUCUACAUUCAACGUGAGGAAACCAGACCCUUUUUUCUGCUAGAAGAGCUCACAGAUCUCCAGGUGUGGCACCAGAUUUGUCACACGUUCAUCGACACAACCUGAUGUGUAUAAAAGCCCUUUAGCAGUUUGAUUAGGUGACCACUGUUACAUAUUCCCUGUAGGAGACGAAAAAGGGCAGCCAUUUCCUGUCAAAAUAAAAUGGGACACAAAGAGCUCAUUCAGGGCCCGCAGAAGCUCUCCGUGCCCCCAACACCAGGCCGACUGACUCACAGAGACCCAGCCAGAGACUGACACAGGCCUCAACCCAAACACACAACAUUUCCACAGCCUCCCGGGCCUCUUACACUCACUGACACCAACUAUUAAUACACUGGGACAAAAAGCAGCUAUUGCUCAUUCAGAGCGGCAAAGCGAAGGCUUUGAGUUUACUCCAGGUAAAAUAUGCAGUACACACCACUGGAUUAGCUGCAGAGAGUUUAAUGCUCUUAUGCAGUAUGCAAAAUAAACACACGCUCACAAUCCUUUUUUAGUGAUAUUCGCUAAAGCAGGCAUUGCAAUUAUUGGUGCCGGUACUGUAGUUAGAGUCAAGGU